UUGCCGUCUCGUUACUGCCCUGCUCGGCCUCCGACGAAACGGCUCCAUAAAGCUGCCCGUAAACUCGAAGCACAGGCUUUUGCACCUCCGUAUGGCUGCAGAGGAGGUGCGAAUGCGCACACGCAAAGCUCGAUGAGCGGGGGGUUUUCGGAGUGUUACGAGGCAUUGACGUACAGUGAGCACAAACGCACCAAGGAGCUCUGCUUUCCUUUAGGGCUCUAGGAGCAAAGGCAGUGAAGGUCGUAAGGCUCCGCUAUCUGCAUACGUGCUUUUAUGAGGCUACAAAUGCUCUCUGCACAGUUAUUCAUGCGCUGCCAGACGUAACGCGCUACAGCUGUUUGCAUGCAGAAAGGAGCAGUACUACAGUGCAAUAAGCAGAAAAAAGGGUUUACAAAACAGAACCUUCAGGGUGUAGGCGCUGUUUUCCACAAAGCACGAACCAUGCACAAAUUAGUGGGAUUUUCAAAUAGGACCUAGGGGUUCCACUGGCGCUGACCUCAGGUGUUCUGUAGGUCUCUGUUUCCAAACGAGGCAAUGUCCCAUCUGUCUCAUCUAGGCCAAGUAGGGCCAAGUCCCUGUCCUGCAAAGCAGCAGAGGCCACAAGCCUCUGUCCCACGCUGAGUAGUUGCGCUAGGAGCGCUUCACUUGCUAAUCACAAGCACAGUUUUUUUAGGAAGGAAGAGACACUUGAGGGAUUAUUUAUAAAAGUUAUUGAAGUUAUCUGUUUAACUUGAUAAUCCCUGACGGAGAAGCAGAGAUUUUCAGCUGAGGCUUACAUUUAGAAGUAAUUACAUGUGUCUGACUGUGGGGUACCUGUGUGGUGGCUGGGCACGGGGGCACGUUCAGCUCUCCUUCAACACAUGCUCUUUGCUCUUGGUUACAGUGGGGACAGCAGAAGGUCUGUGGGGACAGCAGGAGGCCACGGGGACAGCAAGAGGCCUUUGGGGACGGCAGGAAGCUCUGCAUGAGAUGGUGACCAAAGCUCCCGCAGCCGUCCCUGUGGCAAGAACACCCACAGCAGCAGGUAAUGUGCCCCUCCCACAGCAACUGACAGCCAGGAGCAAGAAAUGUUCGGGCAGCUUACAUCAUCGUUUGCCUGUAUCAUUAUCAAGGAGGAACUGAAAGCUGUUUUAUGAGGAGCAGACAGACAAGACUAGCUUGAGCUUGAGACAUAAAGAACUCAAACCACUAAGACACCUGAAGGCAUCCCAAUUAAGCGAUAUUACCAUCCCGAUCAAGAUGCAGUCAUUGUUAGUAAGCAUCCCUGAUUUCUAAGUGAGAUAUGCCAAUGAAACAGAUUUCCUGAUUAGGUGCACUUAAAUUAAGUGGAGAGAACUGCGUGGAGGAAAUGUGGAAAGGCUCUUGUAUGGGCCAGCUUCAUGGGCACUGUGUCACCUCCACUGACACAGAGCUUGGACCGCUAACCUCAAACCUGCAGUGCUGCCCAUGCCUGGGGCUGUGUGACCAUCCCACCUCCACCCUCUGCCUGCGAUCCCAGCACAAGGAGCAGUGCUGCUAGGCAUGCCCACAGCCACCUGCAUCAGAGCACCUUGGCACCUGUGCUCUGCCGAAAUCCCACUGGGUGCUGAGAAAGAGGCAGAGUGGUAUCUGAGAGUCUGCGGGGGCUGAUCUGAUAGAUAAUGGCUUGGGCUUUGGGAUGAAUCUGAAAGGAAGGUCCUCAUCAGCUCUGCACUGGAUAUUUCUGAGUUUUAGAGGUCAGACCUGCAUAGUUUUCAGAUGGUUGGACUCCAGGUGACAUGCUCUGGCAGGGCUGAAGGGAGGUUGGGGAGGAAGAAAACACAGACAGCAAGUCUUGCAGACACUGGUCCUUCUUAAAGCCCUGAGCUGUGCCUGCCAUGUGAGCUGGGCGAAGAAAGAAGGGCCCUACGCUUAAGUCCAGUGCUGAUGCCCUUCUUAACAUCCACUAUAGGCUCCUCCCAAACUGCUCUUCUGGUAGGAGAGCUCUGAAAGGAGCCUGCAGCAAAUGGGCCCCUGAGGAGAGGUUUGUGUCUCCUCAUGCAGCUCUUUUGCUCCAGAGCCCUGCCUUGUCUUACAUCCCCACACUGAAUAAGGCAAGGAAUGUGAGCCCUCCACCACACCUCUAGCUUUCAACAUUUGCUGAGCCUGUUUGUCUAUUAUUUUUUUUUUCCCCUAUGACUUUUGAGAUUGUAAUCUUGGCAAGGUAGGGACUGCCUCCUCUUCUGUGUUUCUAUACCAUCUAGCUCCUGAUUGUGUCCAGGAUCUUGGGUUGAUGUGCUAACAAUGAAUAAGCACAAAUAUUUGGGGGGUACUCUUCGUGGAUCCCUCUGAAACGGAUUGAGCUGGAAAUGUACCAAUUCCUUUGGAAGAGAAGGACUUUACAGUAACCACUUGAUUAAAACGAUCACUCUCUGCAGGGAUAAACACAGGUGUUGCCUUCAGUGAUGUUUGUCACAGAUUUGCAUACAAUGAAUAGCACACCAUGUCCCUCCUUCUUCUAAGUUUAGGGGAUGGCAGCAGCCGUCUAAACCUCUUUGAAGAAAAAGAUGACACAGAGUUUUCUUGCUGACCUGCAGCAAAGGUGUACUCUUGAGGUGUGCCUGCUUUUCAAUUUGCCUACCUAUAUAAAUUCCAAAUGUGGCAGCUUCGUGCAGUUAUUUCAUUUCGGAGGUCCCCUCCAAGUGUCUCAUCCUGACCUCGUAUGGCUGCAUGGCACGCAGUAAAUCAGUACAGAAAUCCAUCUCUGAAUCUCUUCUUUUUCAUUUUUCUUUUCAAAUUCUGCUUUUCCUUUCAAACGAGGCCAGCUCCUCAAGCCAUUAGGCUGAAUUGCAUCAGCUGUGGCUCUGGCUUGGGGAAAUUAAAGGUGAACACCUGUGCCAGCUCAGCAUCACCACAGUGCACGAGCACGUAGAAGAAGUUAAGUCACUGGAGAAUGAACAAGGCUGGAGCCUUAGUGGUGCUGGUGGAUCAGGUGCAUGCUAUGUGCUGGGUAGUGUCCUUGGGAGAGCUGCUUCUUUGGGCAGCCUCAGUGUGGCCUGGAAACAUCACAUUUCUGUGACUCAGCAGAGGACAUUUUUCUGGAGAGGCACUCCACCUGAGCUUUCUACAGCAGCCAAUGUGUCACAUAACUUCUCUUACGAGUCUCCUGAAGUCCUGGGGGUCAGCCUGCAAAGUGAAAAAUGCAGAGAUCUAGGAAUGGCUCAGCCAGCUGAAAGUUACGGGAAGGGAAAGGCUCCAGUUUCACUGAAGGAAA